rnacentral:rRNA from 1 species
UCCCAGACUCCUACGGGAGGCAGCAGUGGGGGAUAUUGCACAAUGGGGGAAACCCUGAUGCAGCGACGCCGCGUGUGGGAAGACGGUCCUCUGGAUUGUAAACCACUGUCCCCAGGGACGAAAAUGACGGUACCUGGGGAGGAAGCUCCGGCUAACUACGUGCCAGCAGCCGCGGUAAUACGUAGGGAGCGAGCGUUGUCCGGAAUUAUUGGGUUUAAAGGGUGCGUAGGCGGACUGGAAAGUCAGCGGUAAAAUCGGGAGGCUCAACCUCUUUCCGCCGUUGAAACUGUCGGUCUUGAGUGGGCGAGAAGUAUGCGGAAUGCGUGGUGUAGCGGUGAAAUGCAUAGAUAUCACGCAGAACUCCGAUUGCGAAGGCAGCAUACCGGCGCCCGACUGACGCUGAGGCACGAAAGCGUGGGUAUCGAACAGGAUUAGAUACCCCAGUACC